AGGAAUUCUGGGGUUCGGUUGAAGUUACUUCCAUGUUCUGAUGGUGACCGGGUGUUUCACAGGGGUGAAGGUUUUAAGUAUUUUUACAUGUACAGUUAUGUGUUGGAAGAGUUGAGGGUGAAACUCCUUUUUCAAAUUUUCAAUGUCAGGUGCUUAGGUAGUUAGAUUGUGCAUCAACUCAACUUCACCCCAAUGGCUGGGCGUUUCUUCGUGCUUUUGAGGUUCUGAUGGAGUUUUUGGAGGAGACUCUUUCAGUAGAAUUGUUUUUCUCCCUAUUUCAAGUUAAAGGUGUUUGGAAAGGUGGUUGGGUGAACUUGAAUAGUUCGCCGCGUUUUGCUAUAUUCAAAUUGUAUAAGUCGUCCUUUAAAAAUUUCAAGAAAAUGUAUGUAAAGGUUAGUAAUGCAAAGGGAGAUUUCCCUUUUUAUGUAGAUGAGCAUUUGGGGGAAAAGUUUUUCCUUUGGUGGUGCUCAGAGCCUCAGAAUAUUUUGGGGUCUGAAACCAUAAGUGCAAGGGGUGAAUGUAUAAUUGAGUAUUUAGUUGAGGGUGUUGAUCGGAAAGAGUUAAUUUCUGUGUUUGAUCUGCUACAAUGGGACGAGAAUAGGCAGGCAGUGAUAGAUUAUUUAGGUGAGCUUUUAAAAUACUUGGCUAUGGUUUAGUGUGAUGUUUAUGUUGUUAAUGUUGGUGUUUUGUUUUAGGAGGAAAGUAUCCCGAGGUGUCGGCGUCUACUCUGAGAGCUCGGGUUAAGAGCAAAAAUCUUGAGGAGGGAUCUACUUCAAAAGUAGAAAAGGUUGUUGGUGUUGGCGAGAUUAAUGAGCCUAAGCCAGCAAGAAAGAAGGUUAUUCUAAAGAAGAGGAAAACAAAUGUUGUCGAUCUGUCUGAAUAUUCCAAGGAUGAUAAGGUGAAGUUCCUAUUGAAGAAAUUCAAAGUUUUUUCAAAAAUCAACAGAGAUUGCAUGACGUUGCCGAUCAAAGUGAUGGCUCGUUAUUGUGGGGAAAGGAUUUUCCCUAUAUGGCUAUUGCCGAUGAGGUGUGCCAAACCUCGAUGGAUGUGACGUUGGCGAACGAGGUUGGUGACGUCGCCAUAGAUCAACAUAUGUGAUUGGUUUUCGGCUUGCCAGUUUAGGGCGGAGCUAAGAAAAGAAACAUCGGAGGUUUGCCGAGCUUAAGCAAGACCCGACUUUGAAAGAAGAACUGGAGUUAAAGAAUAGUAAAGUUGUCGAACUAGAGACUAAGUUAUCAGAAACUGAGAAGGAGUUGAAGGUGAUGAACAAAAAUUAUGCCAAAGAGGUGGAAGAUCUGAAGAAGAAAGAGGCCAACCUUCCCAACAUGAGUGCUCAAGUUGUUGAGGUGAUAUCGAAGUUGAAGGAGAUGGAAAAACAGAAGAGAGCGGAGAUUCUUGAUUCAUUUAUAGAAGGGUUUGAGCAAGCUUUGCAACAGGCCAAGUUUCUUGCUCCUGAUGUUGAUUUGUCUCAGAUGGAUCCGGAGAAGAUCAUCCAAGAUGGAGCAAUGGUGGAAUCACCUUUAAGUUUUGGAACAGGAUAUGAACAAUAUAUAUAUUGUGUUCCCAUAUCUUAUAAGAAUUUAAAAUUCAUAUA